rnacentral:rRNA from 1 species
UAGGGAAUCUUCGGCAAUGGGGGGAACCCUGACCGAGCAACGCCGCGUGAGUGAAGAAGGUUUUCGGAUCGUAAAGCUCUGUUGUUAAGGAAGAACGAGUGUGAGAAUGGAAAGUUCAUUCUGUGACGGUACUUAACCAGAAAGGGACGGCUAACUACGUGCCAGCAGCCGCGGUAAUACGUAGGUCCCGAGCGUUGUCCGGAUUUAUUGGGCGUAAAGCGAGCGCAGGCGGUCAAUUAAGUCUGAUGUGAAAGCCCCCGGCUCAACCGGGGAGGGUCAUUGGAAACUGGUUGACUUGAGUGCAGAAGAGGAGAGUGGAAUUCCAUGUGUAGCGGUGAAAUGCGUAGAUAUAUGGAGGAACACCAGUGGCGAAGGCGACUCUCUGGUCUGUAACUGACGCUGAGGUUCGAAAGCGUGGGUAGCAAACAGG